rnacentral:rRNA from 1 species
CCUACGGGAGGCAGCAGUGAGGAAUAUUGGUCAAUGGGCGGGAGCCUGAACCAGCCAAGUCGCGUGAGGGAAUACGGUACAGCGUAUUGUAAACCUCUUUUGUCAGGGAACAAAGGCCGGGACUAGUCCCCGGUUGAGGUUACCUGAAGAAAAAGCACCGGCGAACUCCGUGCCAGCAGCCGCGGUAAUACGGAGGAUGCGAGCGUUAUCCGGAUUUAUUGGGUUUAAAGGGUGCGCAGGCGGACUGUUAAGCCAGCGGUAAAAGCGCGGGGCUCAACCCCAGCGAGCCGUUGAAACUGGCGAGCUAGAGUUGGAGAGAAGUACGCGGAAUGCGCGGUGUAGCGGUGAAAUGCUUAGAUAUCGCGCAGAACCCCGAUUGCGAAGGCAGCGUACCGGUUCAACACUGACGCUGAGGCACGAAAGCGUGGGUAUCGAACAGGAUUAGAUACCCUAGUAGUC